GUCUCUCUCUUUCUCUCACAGAAAAUCAACAAAGAAAGGUAGGAAAGAAAACAAAGAGACAUGUCUCGUCACAGACGGCAAGCGUCUCAAGUGUUGCCGCCGGAGAUACUGACUGGCGAUGGGCCGCUAGGAGACUCAUUAGUGCGGGCAAAAGCAGGAGUAACAAUCGUGGGUCAUAGCAGUGAAGGUUCAAGUGGUGGUGGUGGUGUUACUACUGUGAAUGAAAGACCAACAAAUCCUACCACAAUUACUCAUCCUCAAGAACAAUCCACUGCUGCUCAUUUUCAAGACAAGAAGUCUCUGCCUGCAAAACGUGCAUGAAGAAAUAAAGCUGCUGCUAAAGUAGUAUAUCACUCCAAGAAACCUGGACUUGUUUCUAGUCUGUUUUCUCUCGUCAUAUUUCUGCUGCUAUAAUAAUCCCCCCACGUCUCUCUUUUCAUCGUCUUUUCUACUCUAUUUUCCAAGUUUCAACUACCCCUUGUUGGUAUAUGUAUGUUAAUUUCAAGGGAUCUUAGUUUCCUCGAUUUUCUUUUGCAGGAUUAUUUAAUAUUUUUGUUCUUCUAUUGACUCCAGUGAGUAAAAAUUGGAGAAAACUAAGCUGGAUUACGACACUAUUUCUUAAUUUCAGCAUAUAUACUAUAGGAAAAUAGUAAUUAAUGUAAAUGGAUAAUUAAUGAGAAGAGAGACAAUUAACGGUUUCGCGGGA
rnacentral:misc_RNA from 1 species